AGAGUUUGAUCCUGGCUCAGAAUGAACGUUGGCGGCGUGGAUUAGGCAUGCAAGUCGAGCGAGAAGUUUUAAAAAGAUACUUCGGUUGAUUUUUAGAAUGGACAGCGGCGAAAGGGAGAGUAACGAGUAGAUACGUACCCAGGGGUUCGGGAUAGCCAUGCGAAAGCGUGAGUAAUACCGAAUAAUGUCUCCGGACCAAAGAUUUAUUGCCCUUGGAGCGGUUUGCUUACUAUUAGCUUGUUGGUGGGGUAAAGGCCUACCAAGGCUUAGAUGGUUAGCGGGUGUGAGAGCAUGACCCGUCUCACUGGGACUGAGACACUGCCCAGACACCUACGGGUGGCUGCAGUCGAGAAUCUUCCGCAAUGGACGAAAGUCUGACGGAGCGACGCCGCGUGCUGGAUGAAGGCCCUCGGGUUGUAAACAGCUGUCGUAGGGGAGGAAAUUUUGACCGAUCCUAGGAGGAAGCACAGGCUAAGUUCGUGCCAGCAGCCGCGGUAAUACGAACUGUGCAAACGUUAUUCGGAAUCACUGGGCUUAAAGGGUGCGUAGGCGGACUUGUAGGUCAGGUGUGAAAUCCCACGGCUCAACCGUGGAAUUGCGCUUGAAACCACUCGUCUUGAGGGGGUCAGAGGAGAGCGGAACUGAUGGUGGAGCGGUGAAAUGCGUUGAUAUUAUCAGGAACACCGGUGGCGAAAGCGGCUCUCUGGGAUCUUUCUGACGCUGAGGCACGAAAGCUAGGGGAGCGAACGGGAUUAGAUACCCCGGUAGUCCUAGCUGUAAACGAUCUGUACUAGUCCGUGGGGACCCCCACAUCUUCUCGGACGUAGCGAAAGUGUUAAGUUCAACGCCUGGGGAGUAUGGUCGCAAGGCAA
rnacentral:rRNA from 1 species